rnacentral:lncRNA from 1 species
UUUAUAAUUCUCUAUUUUAUACACACCUAAGUGCUGACCUGUCAUGGGAGGUGUUCUCACCUUCUCUAGGCGCGUUAGAAGGUGAAUUUUGACGAAAAUUUCCGAGAAAAUAGUCAUCUUCCCCAAUUAAUCAAUGAAAGGAUUCAAUCUCAAUUGACCUCCAUUAAUGGCAUUGCUAGUGCUUUCGUUUGUUCUCCCUCUUUUGCUGCUCGACCAUCAGCCACCACUGUCGCCGCCUCCGGCGAAAUCCAAACCACCAACAAAGCCUUGUUCUCCUCUUCCCCUCUCCUCUUAUCUCUCUCCCAUUCCGAGACAACCACCAUAAAUACCUACCUCUGUUCUCACAACAAGAUCGACAACAACAACAACAACAAAACCUUGCGGCUGCACUACUCCAACCAGCGAGCUCCGGUGAAGCAAGCAAAAUAGAUCCUUUUAGAUUAUUUUUCAAUGUUCUCCGACAAGCAAAACUCGAAUAUUGCUUGACAAGC